rnacentral:lncRNA from 1 species
GGGCUGGGCAGUGAGCUUCUUCAGAGCUGAGGUUCUUCUCUGCCACCCCCUCCUGUCUUGCAGGUCUCAAACCGCGUCAGGCCCCUCGAGAGCUCCUAUGGAUCAACAGUGUCUGGGGAGAGCCAGAGCCCCGGGACAGAUGCAGGGCUGCCUAAGACCCUCAGAUGGCCCACCUGAUGCAGAGUCAACCAUUCAAUCUAGUCCAAGCCUGAACUCUUGGGUUCUGGGUCUGUGGGGUGUCCAGAAUCCUGGAGUGGGAUGACUGAGGCUUAGGGGUGCCCCUGCCUGGGCUGCUCAGCCAGCAGGUGUGAACAAGGGUUCCUGCCUCCCAAGUCACAGAGGGAGAGAAACUGAGGCACCGGAAGACCUGCUUCUCUCCUCCACAGGACUCCACAGGAAUCUGGGGCUUGAAACUUG